rnacentral:rRNA from 1 species
UACGUAGGGUGCAAGCGUUGUCCGGAAUUAUUGGGCGUAAAGAGCUCGUAGGCGGUUUGUCGCGUCUGCUGUGAAAAUCCAGGGCUUAACCCUGGACCUGCAGUGGGUACGGGCAGACUAAAGUGCGGUAGGGGAGAUCGGAAUUCCUGGUGUAGCGGUGAAAUGCGUAGAUAUCAGGAGGAACACCUGUGGUGUAGACAGCUUACUGGACCACUUCUGACGCUGAGACACGAAAGCGUGGGUAGCAAACAGG